GAGUUGCCUCAUAUCAGACGAUUGUACCAAUUGGUACCAUACACUCUGUACAGCACUAGUACCACAGCUGUCGCUGCCUCUGCAGUGUCAGUGUUAAUGCUGAAGCUACUGAGCGAAGGCACUGCCUCGUCUCAACGAGAAGACUGCAAGCACGGCCAUAAUAGUUGCACUGCAUAGUCAAUCACUUAGUUUGUGUCAUACUAGGUGUGUGGACGUUGACUCUAAAUCACUCUAUUGUGGGCGACAUUUAUGUGCCAUUUUAUACGAGUGACCUUAAGAAUAAGAACAAGAUUAGCUAUAAAUAGUUAGCCACCUAUUAUCAUUAUAUGUCAGUGGGUUGGUGACAAUUUGAGCACUACGGCUAUGUCAACCGUGAAAGCUCAAAUGGCUUUCGAUUCUCACAAGAAGACUCUGCACCACCAUUAUUGGUGGCUUCCUACUUGGACGUAUAUACAUUCGACAAAGUGAAAACAAACCCAAGGAUUCCUUAACUAAGGCGAUUUAUAAACGCCACUUCUAUCUUAUAAAAUAGAUAGUUACAAUGGCUACCUCAUCGGGAGCAACGCGUACUCUCAGCUGCAGAAGCAGGACUUCACGAAGUACCUCUCCCGUGAAAGGUCUGCUUAGAAGGUCCAGGUCAAUGCAUCAGACAAGACGCGAACAGGGUGAAAAUGAUACCUGCUUGAUUUCAGGUCGCAGAUCUCUUUUUAGCGGAAGCCGUAUCGGGAGUUCAGGGCAUCUGACAAUGCCCAGACUCCUAGAAACACCCGUGCGACUCAUCACGCAGUCCUCUCUUAGCCUUUCCUUACCAAAGCUUUACAGCAGAAUCUCAUCAACAGCUUCAAAUAACAAUGAGAUACCUCCAGUUCGCGAAAGAAGUAUUUCGCCCCCUAGACCAGAGGCCCAACUAUGGAGAAGCCGAUCAGUUCGCCGCUCGAUGAUUCGUCCCGUCGUUUCUUCAGUGAGCCGAGUCCGCAAUGUUCAUUUUCAUGUAACCUCCUGUACUCGUUGUUUGUCACGCGGUACUAUUGAAUGUUAUUGUAACUAUGUGCCUCGAUCCGAAUCACUCCGAUUUUGCAGGCUCAGCUAAAUCGAAUUAUGCGAGUUCAUUUUCCGACUCAGGACGACGAACAGAAAAGGUGUUAUAAUAAGAUUAAUAAAUAAGGCUUUCACAUAUUGCUGGAAUACGUGGACUUCGGGAUUAGAAAAAUAUUAUAUAAUUGCUCACAGCGUUUCACAGAAGCAUAAAAAGUUUGCUACAAAAUGUCAAUAAUUUUCUACAUAUCAUAUUAACAUCUGUGAUUACUCUAAAAAUGCUCAUAAGGGGUGGUUAUAAAACCAUCUUUCUGUCUGCACUAUCCGCCAUGUAUCUAAUCAAACCGAAGGUUUACGUAAAAAAAAUUAGUAUUGAUUUGGCAAUGCUUUUUCUUGUUAGGCUUUCGACGGAUUUUUUCACGUUUGCGUCAUCGUACCCCCGACUUCCCGAGGCACACACUUCGUCCCGAUAUACUUCUGCCAGCCUCUCAGGAAGAAGCCGACGUUCACCCUCAAUGACUUCAAUGUCAUCACUGUCUCAGGCUUAUGGAGGUUACUAUAAUCGCCCCUCGAGCAGUUUACCGCGGCCGAAAAGUACGAGCAGCGUAAACAGAGUGGGAUUACUUUAUUGAAAGACAUUUGUUUGUAUACAUAAUACGCAACCUACAGCGAGAAGUAAUUUCUUGUCAAAUUAAAGCCCGAAACUUAGUCGCAGAACGUUUCCUCAAAGGCCGAGAUCGAAUUGGAGCAAGCUAAAUCAAUAUUGAAAUGUCCAUUCUAUAUGCAGGCAUGAAGAUCACUAAUAGACCCGAUGUCGGACAAUCAAAUUAAUGUAGGAUUGCCUUAGCCUCUUGUUAUUUCUUUUCAUCAAAUUGUAAUAUUUCAUGAGGUUUACUAGAUGACUUUGCCCGUGUUGAAAAGAACUGCAGAGAACCUUACUUAGGACUGCAGCGAAUAUUUUCUUCAUCUAUUUCAGCAGGCGUGCCUAUUGCUAGAUAAAUUCCAACACUAGCCUUCAGGAUCAUGUCUAUCAUAAGUCAGAAACUGCUGACAACUCUUCGAUUUUACGCACGCUGGUAAAACUUUUCGUCACAAAUACCCCGAUGAAGACCGUGGCACGUUUAAUCACUAAUGAUUUAUAUAUAGUUGCUACGUAGUCUAAAGACUACUUGCAUUGCUUAAUCGGCAACCGCUUUUCCUCCUAUCAAUCUCUCUCAUUCACAUUUCAUAGUAAAAAUAUCCAAGAACAAAAAUAUAUAUAGAAUCCUGUCUAGGUUUCCACACUUAGCCGAUUAAAUAAAAUCGCUGAAGAAUAAAAAAUAAUAUAACCUAAUUGAAGACAACUAAAAAAUAUAGUAUAUAUUAUCCAAAAAACUGAAUGAUUUUUUAAUCGCUUUGCUCUGUUUGAUUAUCCAUUGCAAUCUGUCGAGUGGAAGUAAGCAACCUAAUUCCGACAAAGUAGGUCUCAGGCUGUUUAGGUCUUCGCAAAACAGUGUUGGCCAUCUCUAAGCUUUUUUCUUACAGGACUAUUAUUAUCCUAUCAACACGCUCUCGUACCCUGCUUUUUAACACGGUCGUAUGACCGUGCUCAAUGAAGAUGAAGAACCGUAUAGUUUAUUAUUAUGGAUGGUUCCAAGCAAACGUAGUCGAAAAUUAAGGGCGGUUUAACGCUAGCAGACUAUGGCCAAUAUAAUGAAAUAUACAAGGUCAUCUUAUUAUCAAGGUAUUAAUAUUAUUAUCUAACUAUUUAAAGGAAGCUUCGGGAAGCUCUCGAGCAUCGAAACUCGCCAGUGUUACCCGAAACAUAGAUCCAUAUGACUAUUAACAUGAAGUUUACAUAUGUAUCAGCUGUCUUUAUAUCAUUUACAAUGCAUAAUUAUAAUUAUCUCUCAGUGAUAGUUAUAUCUGAGAGCCAUGUCUAAUGUAGGGAGACGUAGCGGUCGGCGCUCGAAGACGUGGAAGUUUUUGAGAACCAGCCUUUAAGUAACGCUUAAAACUCGAGGUAUCUACUGAUUAUUGACAUGACUAUUAUAUGAUUCAUUUGCAAAUUCUAUAUUUGUAGACACCGCGUUGAUUUAAAAGGAAUUAUAACAUCAUUAACUAUACACAUUACAAUUAAUUGUUCAAGAUUCCCGUCAUUUGUUACCGAUGCUCGUAUCAAGUUAUCAUACCAAUGUACUUCUGAUUGGAAUAAAACUGACCAUUACACUUGAUAACCUAUAUGUAAGCGUUUCAACCUGAAGAAGGAAUAGCUGAAUACUAAGAGACCAGUGGCCUAAAUAAACAUAAAAAUGUUUUCAC